UACGGAGGAUGCGAGCGUUAUCCGGAUUUAUUGGGUUUAAAGGGUGCGUAGGCGGGAUGCCAAGUCAGCGGUAAAGAUGCGGUGCUCAACGCUGUCGAGCCGUUGAAACUGGCGUUCUUGAGUGGGCGAGAAGUAUGCGGAAUGCGUGGUGUAGCGGUGAAAUGCAUAGAUAUCACGCAGAACUCCGAUUGCGAAGGCAGCAUACCGGCGCCCUACUGACGCUGAGGCACGAAAGCGUGGGUAUCGAACAGG
rnacentral:rRNA from 1 species